UACACUCCUGCGGGAGGCAGCAGUGGGGAAUAUUGGACAAUGGGCGCAAGCCUGAUCCAGCCAUGCCGCGUGAGUGAUGAAGGCCCUAGGGUUGUAAAGCUCUUUCACCGGUGAAGAUAAUGACGGUAACCGGAGAAGAAGCCCCGGCUAACUUCGUGCCAGCAGCCGCGGUAAUACGAAGGGGGCUAGCGUUGUUCGGAUUUACUGGGCGUAAAGCGCACGUAGGCGGACAAUUAAGUCAGGGGUGAAAUCCCGGGGCUCAACCCCGGAACUGCCUUUGAUACUGGUAGUCUUGAGUUCGAGAGAGGUGAGUGGAAUUCCGAGUGUAGAGGUGAAAUUCGUAGAUAUUCGGAGGAACACCAGUGGCGAAGGCGGCUCACUGGCUCGAUACUGACGCUGAGGUGCGAAAGCGUGGGGAGCAAACAGGAUUAGAAACCCGUGUAGUCCCA
rnacentral:rRNA from 1 species